rnacentral:rRNA from 1 species
GGAAAUUUCACCAGGCCCGACACUGGAAGGAUAGACAGAUCGGUGGGUGGUGGUGCAUGGCCGUUCUUAGUUGGUGGAGUGAUUUGUCUGGUUAAUUCCGUUAACGAACGAGACCUUAACCUACUAAAUAGUUUGCAAUCUCACCGAUUGCAAUUCUUCUUAGAGGGACUAUAUGUGUUAAGCAUAUGGAAGUUUGAGGCAAUAA